UACGUAGGGGGCAAGCGUUGUUCGGAUUUACUGGGCGUAAAGGGCGCGUAGGCGGCAAUUCAAGUCAUCUGUGAAAUCUCCGGGCUUAACUCGGAAUGGUCAGGUGAUACUGCUUUGCUAGAGUGCAGAAGGGGCAAUCGGAAUUCUUGGUGUAGCGGUGAAAUGCGUAGAUAUCAAGAGGAACACCUGAGGUGAAGACGGGUUGCUGGGCUGACACUGACGCUGAGGCGCGAAAGCUAGGGGAGCAAACGGG
rnacentral:rRNA from 1 species